ensembl:lncRNA
AUUUUUACAGUUCUUUCCAGGCAACACAGGGUAAUUUUCAGUUUUGCUUUUCCAUUUGCUACUGUGUCCCAUUUUUUUUUUCUUAAAAACCAACAUGGCCAGGCCUGAAGCAUUGGUCUCUUCCUGAUGAGCUUACUCACUCAGCUGCUCAAGUGGGAUCCCAGCUGCUUGAGUAGUGAGAUGAGAUCUUGUUCCUACCUUUGAUGUUUUAGUUACCUGGCGAAGAGAGCAGUGGUCCAGUACUGGAACAGAAUUUCCUUGGCUUGGAAGGCAGAAAGGAAGAAUGCGUCAUCAGGAGUUGGAGUAUUGUGUGUGAUCCAAGUACCAUACGUAAUCUCUCCAUGGUGACUGCACAGCGUUUGUUUCUAUUUAAGGAGAGAAAGAGGUUUGGGUUUUCUGCCAGAGUUCCCACUCAGAUGAUGCGGUGAUUUUUCUGAACCUAGGACAGCAGAGCAAACAGUACAGCGCAGUCUGGAGAGCACUUCUGCAGAUUCUUCACUCUCUUUGAAGUCGAAGAAAAUACAGGCCUUGUUCACUCAGUCUUAUGCAGAGAUUUAAUGUGGAUAAUGUCCAAUGUUUCUCUUUUUAGGGAUAUUCAGUGGUUGAAAAUGAACCAGAAGAAAGAACUUCAGAAGAAAGAGCUGGGAAGGAUAGAAGAGAAAAAUGAAGUGAACUUUAAGAAUAUUACCUGGCACACCAACUGAGGAAAUGCUGAAGAACAGUUUUAAGUAAUCACUCACAUGAGUGCCUGUUUACCAGUCCAGUCCAACAGUGAGCAACUUCGAACAUUUACUCCUCUUGGACCAGCACAGCCAGCACCUGCAGCACAUCAUUCGCUGGCAGAAGAACAGAGGCAGUGAAGGUGUGACAAGAUUAAGACCAAGAUGGAGAAAGACGAAACCAGAGUUUCAGAGCUCUUGAGGACACCACAUGCCCAUGACCCUGCAGAAGAAACUGGAAAAACACCACUUCAACUUGUAAUUGGAUACAAGAUACUAAUUACAUAAAGCGUGCAUGUUGAUGGCACGACAUCAGUGCACUGAAAGACAGUCUCUCCUAGAUGACGUGCCUCCUGCAUGUCAAACUGAUGACUGUCUUUUGGUCAAGAACGCAUUCAGCUGGGAGUCUGACCAGUUUCAGCACGUUACUGGCAGGAGGCACUGCUCGAGUGGGUUCCUGUGUCCAACUCACACCGUCGUGCUGGAGCCCCGAUCUGUACGUUCUGCACUGCCACAGUGCCUCUCUCCAUUCUUAUUGUCAGAACUGUCCUGGUCUGCAAUUGUGUCUGUUUUCUGUAGCAAACGACUUUCACCUCUGGCAUAGUUCUGCACGUCUGGGUCAAUAGACUGCGCUGCCUUGACAGACAAUGAGGGACCUUUGUCCAGGCCGUGGCAGCACAUGAGAUCUCGCUCAGGUGCUGCUUCCCACCCUCGGUGCCCCCGCCAUGCCGCGUGCUGCUCGCUUCUGGGGGAACGCUUUGAGCCCUGCCAUAGGCCCUCAAAAGAGGAACUGCAGAGGCAUAAUGGCAUCUUGUGACGUAGAAGAGCAUCCUGCGUGCCAGGCAAUGUCAGCAAAGGCACUGUCCCCUUAUCUCUGUUAUGUAACCACGUCAAAACGGAGGUGAGUUUGUGAACCUGAUGCGGCUGGCUGCAGUUACGGCACUUCCCCGGGACGUGGGCAGAGGCUGCCUGCUGGGAAAAAAAUACCGCUUUGGUUUACAACUGACUUACGCUCUUCCAACUCUGAAGCAGAAACAUGGACAAAGAUAUAAAAGGCCAGAGGCUGGUUCAUGGCAAAAAGUGUGGGUCCUGCGGCAAACACCAUAGCCACAGGAUGGAGGAACACACGAGCCUCUUACACGAGCCUGCCGCAGAAGGGAAAGUUGCCCAAAGCUUGCUUCAGCAUGAAUGUGGCUUCUCUUCCACGGCGUGUGCCACACCUCUUGGCAAGGUGGAGGUUUGAGAAGGAAAGAUUCCUUUCUCCUGAGGUAACAGGAGUACAACUGGAAUAAAAAAAGGUGGCAGGCGGGAGAAUGCCGCGUCUGCAGAACAGAAUGCAGAGGAUGGGGUGGCAACUUCUGCGGGGCCUCCACUUGAUUUCCAGCUGUCUCCAGCCUCUGCCUCUCUCCCAUGGUUCCUUUCAUUAAAUCAAUGAACCU